UGCGUGCGUGCGCCCCCACCUGUCCGUCCGUCCGUGGAGCUGUAGAAGGAAGCCAUGCUGCUGCUGGAGAAAGGGAGCAGUACAAACAUUAUCAGGCAUAAGAAAGGAGGCCCUGAGGUUAUGAAUAAGGAGGAGAUUUAAAUGAGAGAUUUGCACUCCAACUAGGUGGAAAACUCUUCAGGACAGGGACUGGAUCUUAUGUGGUGGUCCAGUGUUUUGUACAAUGGAGCCCUGAUCCUGACUGGAGCCUUUGGGCACUACAGCA